AGUGAACGCUGGCGGUAGGCCUAACACAUGCAAGUCGAACGGCAGCACAGUAAGAGCUUGCUCUUACGGGUGGCGAGUGGCGGACGGGUGAGGAAUACAUCGGAAUCUACUUUUUCGUGGGGGAUAACGUAGGGAAACUUACGCUAAUACCGCAUACGACCUACGGGUGAAAGCAGGGGAUCUUCGGACCUUGCGCGAUUGAAUGAGCCGAUGUCGGAUUAGCUAGUUGGCGGGGUAAAGGCCCGCCAAGGCGACGAUCCGUAGCUGGUCUGAGAGGAUGAACAGGCACACUGGAACUGAGAAACGGUCCAGACCCCUAAGGGAGGGAGCAGUGGGGAAUAUUGGACAAUGGGCGCAAGCCUGAUCCAGCCAUACCGCGUGGGUGAAGAAGGCCUUCGGGUUGUAAAGCCCUUUUGUUGGGAAAGAAAAGCAGCAGGUUAAUACCCCGCUGUUCUGACGGUACCCAAAGAAUAAGCACCGGCUAACUUCGUG
rnacentral:rRNA from 1 species